rnacentral:lncRNA from 1 species
UUUUUCAAGGACAAGCACCUAGGGGUGGACAAACGGUCGGUUUCGGUCGGCGACGGACCGAAAAUGCCAAUCCGUUCAAACCCACGGUUGAGCUUUCCAGACCCAUUUUCGUCCGUUAGCAGCUUCGGUUUUUUUCGGAUUUCGGUUUCGACGGGUGACGGUUAUGUUGGGUGGGUUACUUCGGAUACUUCAUUGAGUCAUUAUCUUCAUUAUUAUUUGUAACCAAAAAUCCAUCACAGAAGAAAAGAUAAUAAAAAUUGACAGAGAGUAAAAAAGAGAUGAAGAGAGAAGAUUGUUGUUGCACAACAUAUGAAGAGAUAACAAAGAGAUGCAAAAUCGAAAAUAAAUUCAAACAGUGUGAUUGGUACUACAAUAGUAUGAGGAAGUGAAUCUCAUAGUCUCAUGAAUCAUAAUAAAAGAUAUAAGAAAAGUAAGGCAGGUGGGGACGUGGGUGGUUUGUCUUGAGAGAGAAGAAGGGAGAAGCAAGGUCUCAAUCUUAAAGGGUUUAGUUUACAAUUACAUAAAGAAAUUAAUUUUAGAGACGGUGAGAGAAAAUACUCCUUCCGUUUUAAAAUAAGUGUCGUUUUAGCCAAUUACACAUAUAUUAAAGAAUGCAAUGAAAUAAUCAUUAGACGUAACACUUUUACUAACUGCCCUUAUUUUAUAAAAAAUAAUAAGCUUAAAGUUGCAUUGAAAAUUGUGUGAGAAAAAAGUUGAGGAAGGUAAAAUUGAAAGAAAAAAAUUAAAAUGAUAUUAAAAAUGUAAAGUGACAUUUAUUUUAAAAUAAAUAUUUUUGGCUAAAGUGACAUUUAUUUUAAAAUAGAGGAACUAAUAAACAAUUGGCAAGAAUGAGUGAGUAUUUUCAUUUUACAAGAUCAUACAAAAAAUUAAAAUAAGAAUAAUUAGUAAGUUGGUUACUUGCUGCUGUAAUGAACUAUUGAUACGCUUUCCAAGAAGAUAUUGUUACUUUUUUUCAAAGUGUGGGUCUUAAGACACUGUUUUCAUGUCACGUCUCUGAAAAAAUCAGAUAUGUAUACAAUGGGCAUUGCUAGCGGUCGGGUUUCGGAUUUCAAUGGAUUGGUUUUUGAUAUCCGAGACCGUCCAUUUAUACUCACACAAAACCGUGAUUGUUCACCCGAUAACCCGCCGACCCGUUCAAACCCAACCGUUUAUCCAUUUUUCAAGUCGGUUUUUCGGGUUACGGUCGGGUUUUGGAUUCUUGUCCAGCCCUACAAGCACCUAGGGGUGGAUGUCUGGUGGGUCCCGAUCAAGUCUUGAACAGCCAACCAAAGCACAUUUAGAGAGAAGAAAAGUAUAAAACUUCAUAUCUGUAUUAUAAUAUGACCGAUGAAAACCCAAGAGGAGACGGAGUAAGAGACGAUUAUCCUCUGUUUUAUCAAUUAAAUCAUGGUAGUAUCACACAGAAGUCUCCUUGUAUCCAUAAAUGCAAGCCAAGAGGGAAAGAAAAACCAAGAGGAGGCAAUUAUGGUGUUUAUUACUACUUGAACCUUGAAGAUGGAAUGAGUGAGGUUGUCUUUCUACGUUGAAGAAGGAAGGAUUAUUGAUAUAUAAUUUAAUAGCCUAUAGUUCCUAUGUUGC